GGCGCGAUAGUUCAAUGGUAGAACAUCCUCAUCCAACUCAGAUCACCCCUUCCACAAUUUCAGGAGUGCAGUUAUGCGAAUAACUGCACUAUGUUGUAUAUUAGGAAGAUGGUGGUCUUUGGAUAGUGAGGGAGAUGGAGGUUUGAUUCCUUCUUGUGCCA
rnacentral:tRNA from 1 species